rnacentral:rRNA from 1 species
GUGGGGAAUAUUGGACAAUGGGCGAAAGCCUGAUCCAGCCAUGCCGCGUGUGUGAAGAAGGUCUUCGGAUUGUAAAGCACUUUAAGUUGGGAGGAAGGGCAGUAAGUUAAUACCUUGCUGUUUUGACGUUACCGACAGAAUAAGCACCGGCUAACUUCGUGCCAGCAGCCGCGGUAAUACGAAGGGUGCAAGCGUUAAUCGGAAUUACUGGGCGUAAAGCGCGCGUAGGUGGUUUUGUAAGUUGGAGGUGAAAUCCCCGGGCUCAACCUGGGAACUGCUUUCAAAACUGCUGAGCUAGAGUACGGUAGAGGGUGGUGGAAUUUCCGGUGUAGCGGUGAAAUGCGUAGAUAUAGGAAGGAACACCAGUGGCGAAGGCGACUACCUGACUGAUACUGACACUGAGGUGCGAAAGCGUGGGGAGCAAACAGGAUUAGAAACCCCAGUAGUCC